AUCCACACAGUGAGCACAAAGCGAACUAUGCUUUCGCCUUUUACUAAAGAAUACUGUGAGCUUGCUGCAUCAAGUGUCUUCAACUUUUUAUUGAUACUGAUGCAAUUUUUAACCAA
rfam:Helianthus annuus linkage group 5, whole genome shotgun sequence.